UACAGAGGGUGCGAGCGUUGUUCGGAAUUAUUGGGCGUAAAGCGCUUGUAGGCGGCACGUCAAGUCGCGUGUGAAAUCCCCAGGCUUAACCUGGGAAGUGCGCGCGAAACUGACGAGCUUGAGUGCCGGAGAGGGUCGCGGAAUUCCCGGUGUAGAGGUGAAAUUCGUAGAUAUCGGGAGGAACACCAGUGGCGAAGGCGGCGACCUGGACGGACACUGACGCUGAGGCACGAAAGCUAGGGGAGCAAACAGG
rnacentral:rRNA from 1 species